GAUGAACGCUGGCGGCGUGCCUAAUACAUGCAAGUCGAGCGAACGGACGAGAAGCUUGCUUCUCUGAUGUUAGCGGCGGACGGGUGAGUAACACGUGGAUAACCUACCUAUAAGACUGGGAUAACUUCGGGAAACCGGAGCUAAUACCGGAUGAUAUUUUGAACCGCAUGGUUCAAAAGUGAAAGACGGUCUUGCUGUCACUUAUAGCUGGAUCCGCGCUGCAUUAGCUAGUUGGUAAGGUAACGGCUUACCAAGGCAACGAUGCAUAGCCGACCUGAGAGGGUGAUCGGCCACACUGGAACUGAGACACGGUCCAGACUCCUAAGGGAGGCAGCAGUAGGGAAUCUUCCGCAAUGGGCGAAAGCCUGACGGAGCAACGCCGCGUGAGUGAUGAAGGUCUUCGGAUCGUAAAACUCUGUUAUUAGGGAAGAACAUAUGUGUAAGUAACUGUGCACAUCUUGACGGUACCUAAUCAGAAAGCCACGGCUAACUACGUG
rnacentral:rRNA from 1 species